rnacentral:misc_RNA from 1 species
CAGAGUACCGGUGCCCUCGGGCGCCUACUCCCACCCUUUGUGUACCUCACCUCUGUUGCUUCGGCGGGCCAGGCGCCCUCCCAGGCGCCGCCGGCCGUCCGGGCUGGAGAGCGCCCGCCGGAGUCCAUCUCAAACUCGCUCAACCCGAACUCCGAGCAAGGAAACGAAUGAAUCA